rnacentral:rRNA from 1 species
UACAGAGGGUGCAAGCGUUGUUCGGAAUUAUGGGCGUAAAGCGCGUGUAGGCGGCUUAGCAAGUCGGGCGUGAAAGCCCUCGGCUCAACCGAGGAAGUGCACCCGAAACUGCUGAGCUUGAGUGCCGGAGAGGAUGGCGGAAUACCCCAAGUAGAGGUGAAAUGCGUAGAGAUCCGGAGGAACACCAGAGGCGAAGGCGGCCUACUGGGCUGCACCUGACGCUGAGCCGCGAAAGCCAGGGGAGCGAACGGG